rnacentral:tRNA from 1 species
GUGCUGACGGUGGGGGAGUAGUCCUUCCUUCUUGA